rnacentral:rRNA from 1 species
UGCAGUCGAACGGCAGCACAGAGGAGCUUGCUCCUUGGGUGGCGAGUGGCGGACGGGUGAGGAAUACAUCGGAAUCUGCCUAUUUGUGGGGGAUAACGUAGGGAAACUUACGCUAAUACCGCAUACGUCCUACGGGAGAAAGUGGGGGACCGCAAGGCCUCACGCAGAUAGAUGAGCCGAUGUCGGAUUAGCUAGUUGGCGGGGUAAUGGCCCACCAAGGCGACGAUCCGUAGCUGGUCUGAGAGGAUGAUCAGCCACACUGGAACUGAGACACGGUCCAGACUCCUACGGGAGGCAGCAGUGGGGAAUAUUGGACAAUGGGCGCAAGCCUGAUCCAGCCAUGCCGCGUGGGUGAAGAAGGCCUUCGGGUUGUAAAGCCCUUUUGUCCGGAAAGAAAAGUUCUGGGUUAAUAACCCAGGAUCAUGACGGUACCGGAAGAAUAAGCACCGGCUAACUUCGUGCCACG